CUCCCUCAUUUCGUUUCUCUGAAAAACACUAGCUUUGUUUCGAUUGAUUUUUUAUUUUUGGAAAUUCUGUAUGUAUGUAUCCAGCAAGCAAGACCGUAAUUGGAAAUAAAUUUGUGAAACUUUCUCAAUUUGGAAGUCAAAUUAAGAUAAGCAAACUACUAAUAUCUGUGUUUCUUGGAUUCAAGAGAAGCGUGAAGGAGCGAUUUCUUCAUUUCAGUUUGUCAUUGAGUUUCUUAUUGGUGGUGGUGGUGGUGGUGAUGGGGAAGGCGGCAGUGGUUUGUGCUGCCGUGGCGUGUGCAGUGGCGACGCUAUAUGUGCGGCACAGGAUGAGGAGCUCGGGGAAAUGGGCGACGACUAUGGCGAUUCUAAAAGAGUUCGAGGAGAAGUGUGAGACCCCCAUCUCGAAGCUGCGGAAGGUGGCCGACGCCAUGGCUGUCGAGAUGCAUGUCGGUCUUGCAUCGGAGGGUGGCAGUAAGCUCAAGAUGCUGAUAUCCUAUGUUGAUAAUCUUUUUACUGUCGUUUGAUUUGAUCUUUUGGAUUGGGGUUAUUGUGAAUUUCUUAUCAAAAGAUGGAUUCUUGAUUUACAAUCCACGUUUUCUGAGCUAAUCUUUCUCAGGCUAACGAGUUCUCAAUUUCACUUACUCUGGGUAGGAGGUUGGGGGUACUGGGUAUCUGUGGCAGUGGCAGGAUGAGGAAGGACUGUUUUAUGCACUGGACCUUGGUGGCAUAAACUUUCGUGUCCUGUGUGUACAGUUGGGUGGGAAAGAAGGACGUGUCGUCAAACAGGAAUUUGAGGAAGUUUCAAUUCCUCCACAUUU